rnacentral:tRNA from 1 species
GGAGGGCUCGCAUAGUGGCCUAGUGCGGCGGUCUUGAAAACCGCUACCGAGGGACCCCUCUCGGUCAUGGGUUCGAAUCCCAUGCCCUCCGCCC